rnacentral:lncRNA from 1 species
ACCCCUCUCCCUUCCUUGGUUCAGCCGCCAUCAGCAAAGGAAAAAGAAGAAGAGGCGUGCACCUCUCCUUGGCCUCCUUCCUUGGUUCCAACGCAGGGAAGAAAAGAAAGGCUGCAAGGGUUUCGUUCCUCUUCCUCUAUCCCUCCUUCUUCUUCCUCCUUUCAAGCACAUUCAAGAGUUGAAAGAAAGAGAGGAGAUCAGCCAUCAAAAGAAGUCUUUGCAAGGGAGCUAGCACCCUGGGAAGACAAGAGAGCUUUGAUCGGAUCUCUGCUUCGUGUGGAUACCCGUAGAGGCCGGGCACUUGAAC